rnacentral:tRNA from 1 species
UGUCCUUUAGUUUAGAAAGAAUGUUUGUUUUUGGUGCGAAAGGGUUGGGGGCAA